rnacentral:rRNA from 1 species
CCCCUAGAUGUUCUGGGCCGCACGCGCGCUACACUGAACAGUUCAACAAGUCUUAACCUUGGCCGAUAGGUCUGGGUAAUCUUUGAACGCUGUUCGUGAUUGGGAUAGACCUUUGCAAUUAUGGGUCUUCAACGAGGAAUUCCUAGUAAACGCAAGUCAUCAGCUUGCAUUGAUUACGUCCCUGCCCUUUGUACACACCGCCCGUCGCUGCAACUGAUUGGGUGAUCUGGUGAACAUCUUGGACUGACAAGUGCAAUUAUGCACUGGUUGGAAAAGGACGUAAAUCAGGUACAUCUAGAAAUUGCAAAAGUCGUAACA